UACGUAGGGUGCGAGCGUUAAUCGGAAUUACUGGGCGUAAAGCGUGCGCAGGCGGUUCGGAAAGAUAGAUGUGAAAUCCCAGGGCUUAACCUUGGAACUGCAUUUUUAACUGCCGGGCUAGAGUAUGUCAGAGGGGGGUAGAAUUCCACGUGUAGCAGUGAAAUGCGUAGAGAUGUGGAGGAAUACCGAUGGCGAAGGCAGCCCCCUGGGAUAAUACUGACGCUCAUGCACGAAAGCGUGGGGAGCAAACAGG
rnacentral:rRNA from 1 species